AUUGAACGCUGGCGGCAUGCCUAACACAUGCAAGUCGAACGGCAGCACGGCAGUAGCAAUACUGUGGGUGGCGAGUGGCGGACGGGUGAGGAAUACGUCGGAAUCUGCCCAGUCGUGGGGGAUAACUAGCCGAAAGGUUAGCUAAUACCGCAUACGACCGAGAGGUGAAAGCGGGGGACCGCAAGGCCUCGCGCGAUUGGAUGAGCCGACGUCGGAUUAGCUAGUUGUGGGGUAAAGGCCCACCAAGGCGACGACCCGUAGCUGGUCUGAGAGGAUGAUCAGCCACACUGGAACUGAGACACGGUCCAGACUCCUACGGGAGGCAGCAGUGGGGAAUAUUGGACAAUGGGCGCAAGCCUGAUCCAGCAAUGCCGCGUGUGUGAGAAGGCC
rnacentral:rRNA from 1 species